rnacentral:lncRNA from 1 species
UUGCUCUCUCCCCCUCUCACACUCUUCCCCUCUCUCUCUCUAGAAAGGAAAAGAAGAAGAAGGAGAAGAGGAAGAAGAAGAGGAAGGAAAAGAAGGAGAAAGAGAAGGAGAAGACUAAGAAGAAGAAGAAGAUCGUCUUCUUCUCUCCCUCUUCAAGCUUGGAGCUUGGUAUCGAGGUAAACCUCAAACCCUUUUAUGGUGGAUUUUGGAAGCUAGGGUUUUAUAGCUUGGAAUUGGUUCAAAUGGAACCUAUUGGAGCUAGGGAGAAGGUUCGAG